rnacentral:tRNA from 1 species
GUGGUGGUUCAAUGGUAGAAUUCUUGCCUUUCCAGUGGGAGACCUGGGUUCGAUUCCUGGCCAC